rnacentral:tRNA from 1 species
GGGUCGUAGCGCAGUUGGCAGUGCGGAACUGUGGUGACAUUGAGGUCACGGGUUCAAACCCGUCACCCG